rnacentral:lncRNA from 1 species
GGUAGACGACGACUAUGGAAUCAAAGGGAUCGAGCCUCAUCUCUCCGAGUCCGACAAUGAUGGUUUGGCUCGUAAACUAGUUGUAUUUCCUGUUUACUGUUUAAUAUUAUCGAGAAGUGUUUUUUUUUCUUUUUUUUUUUGGAAACUUUCGAGAAGUGUUAAAAUAAAAAAAUGACAUGGAGGUUAAACUUUUACACUUUUAUCAAUUCUAUUUGGUAUACCAAAUAUCAUAUAUAUAUAUAUAUAUCAUAUAUAUAUAUAUAUAUAUAAAUCUAUAGAAUAAAACUUAAAACAAAUAUUACAACUAAUA